rnacentral:rRNA from 1 species
UACGUAGGUGGCAAGCGUUGUCCGGAUUUACUGGGCGUAAAGAGCGCGCAGGCGGUCGUCCAAGUCGCGUGUGAAAGCCCCCGGCUCAACUGGGGAGGGUCACGCGAUACUGGUCGACUCGAAGGCAGGAGAGGGUAGUGGAAUUCCCGGUGUAGUGGUGAAAUGCGUAGAUAUUGGGAGGAACACCAGUGGCGAAGGCGACUACCUGGCCUGUUCUUGACGCUGAGGCGCGAAAGCUAGGGGAGCAAACGGG